rnacentral:tRNA from 1 species
GGAGAGUUGCCGGAGUGGUCGAUCGGGCAGGAUUGCUAAUCCUGUGUACCUUUCGGGGUACCGGGGGUUCGAAUCCCCCACUCUCCGC